GACGAACGCUGGCGGCGUGCCUAAUACAUGCAAGUCGAGCGAAGUUUUUCUGGUGCUUGCACCGGAAAAACUUAGCGGCGAACGGGUGAGUAACACGUAAAGAACCUGCCUCAUAGACUGGGACAACUAUUGGAAACGAUAGCUAAUACCGGAUAAUAGCAUUAACUGCAUGGUUGAUGUUUAAAAGUUGGUUUUGCUAACACUAUGAGAUGGCUUUGCGGUGCAUUAGCUAGUUGGUGGGGUAAAGGCCUACCAAGGCGACGAUGCAUAGCCGACCUGAGAGGGUGAUCGGCCACACUGGGACUGAGACACGGCCCAGACUCCUACGGGAGGCAGCAGUAGGGAAUCUUCCGCAAUGGGCGAAAGCCUGACGGAGCAACGCCGCGUGAGUGAAGAAGGAUUUCGGUUCGUAAAGCUCUGUUGUUAGGGAAGAAUGAUUGUGUAGUAACGAUACACAGUAGAGACGGUACCUAACCAGAAAGCCACGGCUAACUACGUG
rnacentral:rRNA from 1 species